GUGCACGCCCACCAUCCUCAUCUCUCCACCUGUGCACCUCUUGUAGACUUGGAUUGACUUUCCGAGGCAACUCGGUCGGGAGGAUUGCCGGCGCCAGCUGGCUUUCUUUGCAUUUCCAGGUCUACGUUUUUCAUAUACCCCAUUGUAUGUAACAGAAUGUAACAUUGGGCACUUGUGCCUAUAAACUUUAUACAACUUUCAGCAACGGAUCUCUUGGCUCUCGCAUCGAUGAAGAACGCAGCGAAAUGCGAUAAGUAAUGUGAAUUGCAGAAUUCAGUGAAUCAUCGAAUCUUUGAACGCACCUUGCGCUCCUUGGUAUUCCGAGGAGCAUGCCUGUUUGAGUGUCAUUAAAUUCUCAACCUUUAUCAACUUUUGUUGAUAAUGGCUUGGAUAUGGGGGUUUAUUUUGCUGGCUUCUUUACAGAUGGUCAGCUCCCCUUAAAUGCAUUAGCCGGUGCCCCGCGUGGACUGUCUAUUGGUGUGAUAAUUAUCUACGCCGUGGACAUCUGCAAUCAUAUGGGUUUGCACUGCUUCCAACUGUCUGUUGAAUCAGACAAUACAUGACAAUUUGA
rnacentral:rRNA from 1 species